rnacentral:rRNA from 1 species
GACGAACGCUGGCGGCGUGCUUAACACAUGCAAGUCGAGCGAUGAAGCACCUUCGGGUGUGGAUUAGCGGCGAACGGGUGAGGAACACGUGAGGAAUCUGCCUUUCACUUCGGGAUAACUCCGGGAAACCGGGGCUAAUACCGGAUAUUUUCAACUGGCGGCAUCGCCGGUUGAAGAAAGUUUUUCGGUGAAAGAUGACCUCGCGGCCUAUCAGCUUGUUGGUGAGGUGAUGGCUCACCAAGGCGGCGACGGGUAGCCGGCCUGGGAGGGCGACCGGCCACACUGGGACUGAGACGCGGCCCAGACUCCUACGGGAGGCAGCAGUGGGGAAUAUUGGGCAAUGGAGGAAACUCUGACCCAGCGACGCCGCGUGAGGGAUGAAGGCCUUCGGGUUGUAAACCUCUUUCAGCGGGGAAUAAGCGAAAGUGAAGGUACCUGCAGAAGAAGCACCGGCUAACUAUGUGCCAGCCGCCGCCGUAA